GUCCUCUCCUGCUGUGCUUGAUUCCUGGUUAAGGGUGCUGGGCAAUUUAACAAUCUCAGCUGUGCAAACUGAGACUAAAUCAAGAGAAGGAUAACCAGCCAGCUGUGGUGGCCCACACCUUCAAUCCCAGCACUUGGGAGGCAGAGGCAGUCGGAUUUCUGAGUUCGAGGCCAAGAGAAGGACAACCAGCAGCCUCCCCCAGCCCUGAAGCAGGUUGAUUCAGACUUGACCUCGCUGCCGCUGAGCAUGAGACCACCUGGGGUGGAGCCUUCCGACCUAGCCGGCUCUAUUGUUCUGUCACCUGCUGCUGCUCGUCUCCAAGACACUGCUACCUGCUGAAAGGCCCUUGAGAUAAUCUGGAGACAGCAUCCAGCCGAUCACCUACUGGCUGGCGAAGGGCACCAAGAAUGGAUUGUUUGGGGGGGGCGGGGGAGGAAUGGUGGGAUGGGGAUGGGCGGCCCCUCUUUAUAAGUACAGACUCUUAGUAAACUUUGGGGCCUUGAACAG
rnacentral:lncRNA from 1 species